rnacentral:rRNA from 1 species
UUCCGGUUGAUCCUGCCAGACCUGACUGCUAUCGGAUUGAUACUAAGCCAUGCGAGUCAUUGUAGUAAUACAAGGCAUACGGCUCAGUAACGCGUAGUCAACCUAACCUAUGGACGGGAAUAACCUCGGGAAACUGAGUAUAAUGCCCGAUAGAACAUUAUGCCUGGAAUGGUUUAUGUUCCAAAUGAUUUAUCGCCGUAGGAUGGGACUGCGGCCUAUCAGUUUGUUGGUGAGGUAAUGGCCCACCAAGACUAUUACAGGUACGGGCUCUGAGAGGAGUAGCCCGGAGAUGGGUACUGAGACACGGACCCAGGCCCUAUGGGGCGCAGCAGGCGAGAAAACUUUGCAAUGUGCGAAAGCACGACAAGGUUAAUCCGAGUGGUUUCUGCUAAAGGAACCUUUUGUUAGUCCUAGAAACACUAACGAAUAAGGGGUGGGCAAGUUCUGGUGUCAGCCGCCGCGGUAAAACCAGCACCUCAAGUGGUCAGGAUGAUUAUUGGGCCUAAAGCAUCCGUAGCCGGAUCUGUAAGUUUUCGGUUAAAUCUGUACGCUCAACGUACAGGCUGCCGGGAAUACUGCAGAUCUAGGGAGUGGGAGAGGUAGACGGUACUCGGGAGGAAGGGGUAAAAUCCUUUGAUCUCUCGAUGACCACCUGUGGCGAAGGCGGUCUACCAGAACACGUCCGACGGUGAGGGAUGAAAGCUGGGGGAGCAAACCGGAUUAGAUACCCGGGUAGUCCCAGCUGUAAACUAUGCAAACUCAGUGAUGCAUUGACUUGUGGUCAAUGCAGUGCUGCAGGGAAGCCGUUAAGUUUGCCGCCUGGGAAGUACGUACGCAAGUAUGAAACUUAAAGGAAUUGGCGGGGGAGCACCACAAGGGGUGAAGCCUGCGGUUCAAUUGGAUUCAACGCCGGG